CUGCUCCUUAAUUGUAUUUCAGUUCAACAAUUCCUUUGAUAAAAAACUUAUUUUGUUAUGUGAAAAUGGCUUUAGAUACCCAUUAGGUUCAUAAAUGUCCAUAUAGCAUAUAUUCAACACAACAAAACAGCGACAAUUUGUUGUUGACAAAGGACAGCUGGACAUAUAAAGGGCCCCAUUACCUUCAGUAGCUUAGGGCCUCAUCAAACCUAAAUCUGCCCCUGGGUGCAGCAGAGGGAAUCCGGUUCGGGCCCCCCAUGAGGAAAUGGGUGGCUUUGGAUGAAGCCAAUUUAUCGCCUUUUCCCAUUCUGCCUCCGUGACGGCCCAUUCUGAAAGCUUGUGAAUGCGCCCGGCACUAACGCAUGGUAGUAUGUGCUCUGCUUUUGGCAGGUUUAGCAGGAAAGCAGAGCUCCUUGUGAGACAUGGCAGUGCCAAACAUUCUCCAGCAGCACGGAUCAGGGGUUCGGAUUGCUCCGUAAUUGCCUUGAAUAAUUGCCAUAAAAUUAUUUCUAUUUAAACAGAUACGUUCCAAGAUCCAUCGCACAGCCGCUAGCAUACUUCAGUCAAGUUGCCUCUCUCUUUAUUCCUCACGGUAUGUAAACGCCACAUCAUUUUUAUUAGAAUAAUAGAAUUGUAGAAUUGGAAAGGGACCACGAGAGUAAUCUAGUCCAACCCUUUGCAAUGCAGUAAUAUUUUGCCCCGUGUGGGGCUCAAACCCACAACCCUGAAAUGAAGUCUCAUGCUCUCUCUACCUACAGAGCUAUCCCAGGUUCCAGUAAUAUUAUAAUUUAGGAAGUUACAUGAUAGUGAUGGGGCACCAGGUGAUAUUGGACUCCCAGCUCCCAUUAGCUUCAGCCAGCAUGGCCAAUGAUCAGGAAUGAUGGGAUUUGUAGUCUAAGAAGAGCUAGAGAGCUCCACCCAUGUUCUCCAGCUCUACACUAGAGAACCAGUAUGGCUGGUGCGAAUCUCACCCGUUCAUGUUGUUGUUUUUGUUGUCACUGUUGUUGUUAAUGUCACUAUUAAAUAGCAAGGCAUUUGGCUAUUCUUCAGACUCCGGUGAGCCCCUUUUCUGAGUUAGAUGGUGCCUUGGCCCUGACUCCAUGUGAUCCAUACCACCAUGAGUUUAUAACUGGGGGAGGCCUCGGGGGCCGAGGUCAAAAGUGUAUAUACAAAGUACAGUGGUAACUUGGUUCUCAAACUUAAUUCGCCCCAGAGGUCCAUUCCAAAACCGAAGUGUUCCAAAGCCAAGGCGUGCUUUCCCAUAGAAAGUAAUAUAAAAUGGAUUAAUCCGUUCCAGACUUUUUUAAAAAAACAACCUCUAAAACAGCAAUUUAACAUGAAUUUUACGAGACCAUGAUCAUAAAAUGAAAGCAAUAAACAAUGUACAGUGGACCCUCCGGAUACGAAUUUGAUUCAUUCCAGGGGUCCGUGCACACCCUGGAAAUUUCGUAAGCAGAGGUGCUGCUUCUACAUGCGCAGCGCGCUUCUGCACAUGCGCGCACGGCGAAACCCAGAAGAAUACACUUCCGGGUUUGCCCCAUUCGCAACCCGAAAGUUAUAUUACCCGAGGGUCCACUGUAUUGCGGUCACACAGUCAAACAGUAGCUGAACUGGGUUCCACAAAGUCACAAAAACAAGAGAGUCACAAAACACAAAAUAAAUAGCAAAAACAGACCUCAGCGUAACACUCAAAACGGAAGUGUGGCACUCAAAACGGAGCACAUUCGGCUUCCGAAAGAAGCAAACCGGAACACUUCCGGGCUUGCAGUGUUUUGGUUCCAAGUUUUUUGAGUACCAAAGCGUUUGAGAACCAAGGUACCACUGUAUAUUACGGGGACUGAACCUGCAACCUUGGCAUCAUGCUCUAACCAACUGAGCCACCCUGCGCUAUUACGGUGUCAAGAAUAUAUUGCAGCAGCCAGCUACGAUAAAACAGCUGUAUGGAGCGGCCACGACUCUUCUUCUUCCCACCCCAGCUUGGAAAGAAAUACUGGCCCAUUUUUAAUCCGUGUUUGUGGAAAAGACAGCAAUGGGCGCCCAGAGCUUGCCGCAUCUCACCAAGGACGUCUUGCCUCUUUCCACCUGCACAUUUGGCGUUUCUCAUAAAAGCAGCCGCUAAUCCUCUUUCAGUUGCGCACUGUACACUUAUAAGUCAUAGUUUAGUUACAGUGGUAUGCGGCAAAGUUUAUCCGGCACACUCGCCCGUCACGUUCCUCGGAGUCAGGCGGUUCGUAUGAGUGAGGAAGUCACUGCCAAGAACAAAUGACGUUCCCUUCUGCUAGUGCUCACCCACUCACCAUCUAGGGCAGAAAGUAAAUGUGAUAGGAGGUCAGCUAAAACACUUCAAAUAACUUUUUUAAAAAAACAACAACAAGGCGUUGUAAAAAGCCUCCAUCAUCUCUGGGUGGGUCUGGGAAAGACGCCUGUCUCUGAGGACUGAAGUUCAGCAGAAGAGCACAUGUUCCACCUCUGACAUCUGUAGUUAGAGGUGAGCAAGACUCUCCCGUCUGCUGCCAGCCUGAGAAAAAUGGUUUGCAUGCCUCCUGCUCCCAGUUGCUAUUUUUCAUCGCAUCUUGCCUGCCUGGUUUUGGUAAAGGCUGUUCCGAAAACUCCUGCUACCUCGGGAAGUACGGCAGAUCUUUUUUUAGAAAAACAAUUUUUAUGACUUUAAAUACAACAGACAUAUUUCUUGUUGAAGACUCGGCGUUUUUAAUGAAAUAUCCACAGGUUUUCUUGGCUUCAAAGCAAGAAAAAUGACCGCCGCCACACGCCGUUAACAGCAAACUGUAUUUCCUAGAGUUAAAUCACCUAAAUACGAAACACAUUAGGACAGGGGUGGAGGACUUAAUUCGUCCUCGCAGUUUUACAAGAAUGUUUUUGGACGGGGGAGCUCCACUUUUAAACACAAGGAAAUUGUAGGUGUGUGCUGUUUUGUGCCCGGUCUUGAUGACGGGAAACUUCACUUUGAUAAUGGCAUGCUCUAUUACAAGGAAUAUACAAAAAGAAAAACCCCACAUGUAUUUACAUUUGUAAAUAUGUCGAACAUUGAUUUUUUUUCCUCUCUCCUCUGACAUAUACAUCACACCUGUAAGCAAAAGUCUUUGAGGCAAGAGGAAGGAAUGAGAGGUUAGGAAUUGUACUGAGGUAUGCUCUAAAAUAGUACACCAUUUUCCAUUUUAUGGUACAGCAGCAGAAACCUACCUCUCAGGGUUGUCGUGAGGGAGAAAGUGAGAGAAGAAGAGGAGAAUUACACAUGCUGAUUUUUGCCCUUUGGAAGAAAGGUGGUUUGCAAAUGUAAGGGAUGAAUGGAAAGAAAUAGAUUGCACAGCUUUCUGCCAGGGAGGGGGGCAUCAAACAACAUUAUGAAAUCCUAGCGUUUAUAUUAUCAGUUUUGGAUUUCAACCUUUGCAAAUUGGUUAACCCUGUCGCAAUCUCACCACUGUGUGACACAGCAACACAUCUUGUGGUUCAAAAGCCACCCGUUUUAUAACUACCUUAAUUUAUCAGCAUCGUGGUAUUGCUAAAAAAAAGAAGAUUUUAUCUCUCCAUCGCAAACGGAUAUGUUUCUGAUAUUAGGUCAAUACGGAGGAACAGAAAGCAUGAAACAACUGUUUCCUGUUCCUUAAACACAUGGCAAAACGUUGCUCAGAUUGUUGAGCGCUUAAAUAAAAUAUCUUACAGUAUCGCCAUUCCAGUUUGAUGCAAAACAUUUUACUGUGUGAAAGUGCUUCUUUAAUCAAGUCUGCCCAUUAUAAUUCUCCAUUAUUAGAUCUAUAGUCCUUUUUACAUUUUUCAGUGAUGGAUUUGUACCAUUAUACUUUAUUCAGAGAAAGGCAACAGGUCCUAUUUUUUGCAGUCCAUUUAAACACCUGUCAAAGAACAGUUCUCUGUUUAUUAAAUAGAGUAUGUGAAGGGGAAAGUCCUAAGUCUAUCUGAAAGAUAAAGAGUCCUACGAAGGGAGAAAUGAGGGGCGUUGAAGUUGUGGCGCAUGCAGGUAACUUGGUCAUAGCCUUCCCCACCGUGGUGAGAUAGACUGCACUUCUUUCAGCUAUUCUAAAUUUAGGUAAAGGUUAAGGGACCCCUGACCAUUAGGUCCAGUCGUGGCCGACUCUGGGGUUGCGGCGCUCAUCUCGCUUUACUGGCCGAGGGAGCCGGCAUACAGCUUCCGGGUAUGUGGCCAGCAGGACUAAGCCGCUUCUGUUGAACCAGAGCAGCGCACGGAAACGCCAUUUACCUUCCCGCUGGAGCUGUACCUAUUUAUCUACUUGCACUUUGACGUGCUUUCUGCAUUUCUAAAUUUACAGCUAUACAUUUAAAUCAGCAUAUGCAAAUUUCAUGCAAAGGUGUGUCCUUCCCCCCACUUCCCCUUCAUCAUUCAAUCGACUAAUUUUAGCUCAAAGCAAAAUCCAAUUUACAUUCCCUUAUUGGAGUCCCACCUAUUCCACCCCACCCCAGCUGCAAAAAAUGUCUCAAAACCGAUCAGAGAAUGUGGAUAAAAAGCGCAAUUGCACAAAUUCAGCAUUUGGUUAAGGAAAAGCUAGGUUUUUACAAACCUGUGCCUUGCUCUUCCAGGGGAAGAAAAUACUUUAGGUGCCAAAAAUGUAGCAGUUUUCGGUACAUGGAGGACAAAAACGCCCAAAAUGUUUAAAUGCUCCGCAAAGUGAGUUUUGAUUAUGAUUCGGCCGGAGUGAAUCAAUAGGAGAGGAUGCAUAACUAUUUAGAAUAAGUGUUUAUCUAAUCCAGAAUUUUUAUUUCCUUUUUCUGAUACUGAGAUUCCUGCAUUGUAGGGGGUUGUACUCUGCAAUUCUACGAUUCUGUUACAGUGGCCAGCCAGCUGCUUCUGGGAAGCCCUCAAGUAGGACUGCUACUCCCCCCUCAACUGGUAUUUGAAGGUAGAUUGCACUUGAACGCGGAAGCUCCAUUUAGCUUCACUACAGCUAAAUAUUUUUUUAAAACAAUUUAAGACCUUUCCUCCAUGAAUUUGACUAGUUUUAAUAAGAGCCCUUCUGGACCAGACUUAAGAUCUGCUGCACUUUAAAAAAUAAUAAUCCAUAGUUCGGUAAUCCAAACAUCUGCAUCAAAAAAGCAGAUUCUUGCAACUAGUAUAAACCAUACCAAUGAAGAAUAUUUGCUCUAUCCCUUUCUACUGAUUUUUAUUUUAUUUUACAUAACUCCGUGAGAUGAAAGCUGCUUUGUUCAGUAGUCUUGCCCCUACCUGUUUCUCAGAAUCUUGCUCAGAUCCCUUUCCACGCUCCCCCAAAAUCUCAGCAGGUAUUGGCUAUGCACGAUACAGUAUUUCUUCACAGCCAUACGCACAAAAAAAUUGAUGUGCGUUUUUGGUUUUUUUAAAAAAAGUAAAGCCGAGAUUCGCAGGAAGUUCGAUCAGAGCCCAAACUCGCCACAUUUUCCUGCACUUUCACACUCAGUCUUGACUACCACCGAAUAUCGGAGGGGUGUGAUGGAUUUAUCUUGCCUCCCUUCAUUUGGGGGAAUAGGUUUGAAUAAGGAAUAAGGGAAAUUCUGUACUUGCACAUAAGGAGUUUUCAAACAUUCACACAUUCAAGACACCUACCCAAUAAAGGGCAAUGAGCAGUUUCAUUAUUUACCCUCUAUGUAUACCGUAUUACACAGGUCUAAUUAUUUGCACUGAAAGCAGUUGCCUAGUUUGGGUUUGUUAGUUUGUUCUAGAAAGCAUUUUAAAGGCCAUAUUGCUGGCCUUAAAACUGGGUAUAAAAACUGUUGUAUUUCUAUCCAAUCUCCUCCAAUGAGCUCAAUGCACUUUAUGUUGUUCUCCCGAAUUUUAGCCUCCUGUUAGGUAGGUCAGGCUGAGAGAUAGCAGCCGCAAAAGGUUACCUAGCGAGCUUCAUAGCUGAGUGGGAAUUUGAACCCGGGUCUCCCUGAUCUAAGUCUGACAUUCGAACAUCUGCACUGCAGAACCCAGAUGUUUCAUAGAAGAACAGAACGAGAUUUGGUAGGGCUCCUUUAUUUCAGAGAAGACUGAAUUACCCAUAUUUUCCCCUCUAUAAGACGCUCCAGACCAUAAGACGCACCUAGUUUUUGGAGGAGGAAAACAAGAAAAAAAUAUUCUGAAUCCCACAAGCCAGAACAGCAAGAGGGAUCCCUGCGCAGCGAAAGCAGCGAUCCCUCUUGCUGUUCUGGCUUCUGGGAUAGCUGCGCAGCCUGCAUUCGCUCCAUAAGACGCACACAUAUUUCCUCUUACUUUUUAGGAGGGAAAAAGUCUUAUAGAGCAAAAAAUACGGUACAUCAACUUCAGGUAAGUACAGCACCUGGGGAAAUUUUCUGUAGAAGCCACGUUGAAUUCAGUUUCUGAAUUUUGGUGUGGCUUGCCUUGGACGUUUAGUGGGUUUCCCCCUGUGUUCAUUCUGUAGUGCCUUUUUGUUUUUUAAAAACUCAUCCCCCCCAAGUGUUGACCAAAAGACCUGAUAUUCUGAUCUCCAGCAUUCAGCCAAUAUCGCCUCAGUUCACACAUAACACUGGGUCAUGGUUUAAGCAUAUGAACCCAGCCCAGCAGACUAACCUUGUUUUGCGUUCUGUUAAUAAACCACGAUGUGAAGCCUUUUUGCUGUUGGCUUAUGAACCAUGGCUUGUUUUAAACUAGAGGUUGGCAUUACAUAGAAACCCAACAACCCUAUUUAACCAUGCUUUGUAUGGACACCCUACUUGCAGAGGCCCAAGACCAGGAGCAGCUUUGGGGAAACAAGCCAUGUUUCUCCGCUUCCCUGUGAGACGGC